rnacentral:lncRNA from 1 species
AGAUGCACAUCGGUUUGGUCUCAAAAGUGCUGCUCCCCGUUCGCCUUCCACCACGACCAUAACUUUCCUGAGGUCUCCCCAAAGCCCAGCAGAUGCCAGCAUCGUGCAUCUGGUAUAGCCUGCAAAACUAGGUGCUGCCAUGAAGCAAAAUAGCCAGGGGGGGCAGCAAGACCACCAGAGUCCCCACCGCAGUAAAGCAGCGGCCCAGGAGGCUGGGAACAGCAGCGGUCACCCGAGUUCCGAAUCGAAAUGGCCACGACACGGAGAAACUCUGUCCACAAACACGAUGCCCACUACUCACAAGAGGUGAGUCCGGAUACCACAAUGUAUCUACUUUUAUCAUAUGCACGGAAGGAGUUUGUUUUCCCUAAGCAGUGGACACUUCAGCUGGGCACAGCCGUGUGCACCAGCUACUUAUGAGGCUGAGGCGGGAGAAUCACUUGAGUUCGAGAGCAACCUGGGCAGCACAGGGAGACCACGAAGAGAGAAGGGAAACAGGAAGGGGAAGGGGAAGGAAAACAGGAUGUGGGGGGGGAGAAAAAGGGAAGGGAGGCCGGGCACGGUGGCUCAUGCCUGUAAUCCCAGCACUUUGGGAGGCCGAGGCAGGUGGAUCACUUGAGGUCAGGAGUUCGUGACCAGCCUGGCCAACGUGGUGAAACCCUGUCUCUACUAUAAAUACAAAAUAGCCGCGUGUGGUGGUGGGCAUCUGUAAUUUCAGCUACUCGGGAGGCUGAAGCAGGAGACGCUUGAACUUGGGAGGCAGAGAUUGCAGUGAGCUGAGAUUGCACCACUGCACUCCAGCCUGGAUGACAGAAAGGCCAUGUCUCAAAAAAAAAAAAAAGAAAGAAAAAGAAACAGGGAAGGGAAGGAAAAUCUGACGUCACAGUGAUCACAGCCACACUUACCAACUCCCAUUGGUUAAUGCUGUCAGAAUCACCAGCAUCUGUAACUCCUUUCCCUCCGGGGUGUCUUGUUUAUAUUUGAAAUGGAAUUCCAGUAGAUGGAAAUUAUAUCCUUUUCUAAAAGAGGCUGCUUAAGUGCAUUCUGAAGAGAGUAGUAGAUUGAAUUUCUCUGUUAUCUUAGAUGAUGAGUAUGAGCAUAAAAAAGAAAUGAAAAAUAACAAAAAGAAAUGCCAAACAGUCCAUUUUGUUAAUUAUAAUCUUUCUGCUAGGUACCAAAACACCCUCUGUAACUUCAAUUCUCCUUAUGUAUCACUGACCAUCAAAAGCACAAUAAUCAUUUCUCCUUGGUCCACAGUAAAAUAUUCCAAAGUAAAACAAAAAAAUCCUUUUUAGAAACCAGCUUCUCUCUCUCACUAAACACAGUCCACUUACACAAGUCCCUCCACAGAUGCCCCAUCUGAAGGCAGCGCUUCAUGGGGAGCCCCAUACGAUGGCUCCCUGACUCUGCGAUCUGGUCUGGAGAUGCAGUGGCCCUGACUCUGCGGUAGCACCGACUCUGAGUUCUGGUCUGGAGGUGCGGUGGCCCCGACCCUGCGGUCUGGUCUGGAGGUGCAGUGGCCCCGACUCUGUGAUCUGGUCUGGAGGUGCGGUGGCCCCAACCCUGCGGUCUGGUCUGGAGGUGCGGUGGCCCCGACUCUGCGAUCUGGUCUGGAGGUGCAGUGGCCCCGAUCCUGAGGUCUGGUCUGGAGGUGCAGUGGCCCCGACUCUGCGAUCUGGUCUGGAGGUGCAGUGGCCCCGACUCUGAGGUCUGGUCUGGAGGUGCAGUGGCCCCGACUCUGAGGUCUGGUCUGGAGGUGCAGUGGGACGCACCAAGGCUCUGUGCCAAGUCCCCGCAGGCUCCUGCUCAGGACACAGUGCAGCUCAGCACAUUAAUGACAGCUCUCACAGCCUCGAGGAAACAAAUGUUUCCCUUUGUUAGCCCAAAGUUUCCUAAACACAUCUGACUUGGAGCUAGAUUUUCACAUCUCUGCUGUACCAAGGGAAGGCAGGAGCGGCUGCUCCAUAGGAAGCCAUGGUCCCCCGGGCCAGGACCGAGUAAUCGGUGUUGUUCCCCUCCACAAGGUCACCGGUUUGACUCCUGUGUAACAGUGGACUUGACUGUGUCUUAUGGACACAGACUGGAUUCUAAUCCCAUCAGCCCUUUCUCAUCACAAGUCAUCGCCUCCUGGUAAAAGGGGAGGGUGGGGAGAAGUGAACUUGUCAGUCUAGCGGUCUGUAAUUCUGUCAUCCCCACAAACCCAUCUCUAAUACUGGGGAAAAUGGACACCAAGUCCAGUUCCUGGUCCAUUCAAACUGGCCACGCACAUCACCGGGGGGUAAGGAUGGAGCAGGUGCAAUUCCAGUGUUCACAGCCCAAGGCUUCCCAGAGCAAUCUGCUGUAAUGGUAGAGUUUAAAUUAAAUUAUAUAUAAACACUCAAGAUGCAUACCUCUUUGUGUGAAUGCAUCAUUUGUUUUAUUUUUAAGAAAAGGGAAAAAAAACUGAAAAUCUGUCCCUGGGUGUGGUUACUAAGCCCUAUCAACAUUACUGUUAUUUCACUUCCAAGGGAACUCAAGCACCUACUUUACUCUGUCACAAAUAUACAACUUCUCAGAGUACUGGCACAAUAAACUUAGUACACACAUGAUUACUAGUGGUUUAGUGAUUAGCACUAAAUUACAGAGGACACUCCCCCGGGAAACGAUGCUGUUCAUAAAAUCUCAGCACAAGGGCUGUCAGCUCUUUAAAAGUCACCUGACUGUAAAUCAACCCGGACCUGAACUGCACAUGACCAGAAAGUUUAUAAUGCUAUUAAUCUAUGCCAUUAGGGGACAUUAAGUUACGUAGAGUGUGGCAAUCACAUUCUUAAACUCUAAUUCAGGAGAGCUGUAAUUAUAUCAUGCAAUAAUGUUUUGAUUACCCAUAAAGUUUAAUUUAUCAUGGACAUAAGACCUAAUGAAUAAAUAUGUAAAACAUGCUAAUUCAGCUCAAGAAAAUGAUUGCAUAAUCAGAAAUGCCCGUGCAGUAUACCAACCUAAUUAAGAUAAAAGAUGUCAGUGAAAAAUAUCAGUCAUUUGCACCUUUAGAGCCCACAAAGUUACUUCUCC